AAUUUGAAGUUGAUGAUGGCCCUCUGGUAAGAUUCACUUUCGAUUCAACUUGUCGUGGGCUCAUAUGUAAUGGAAUCUGGAAAAAAAAUUGAUCAGGCAUUUCCUCAUAGCAAAGCUAGCCUAUAAUUACAGGUGACCGUGAUCACACGAUUCAGUUGUCUUCAGGUAAUAGAGGAGCAGGUGUGAACCAGGUGAAUCUCCAGAUUUGGCAAAGGUAAGAACUAUUUAAAGCAUACUCAAGUUAAAAAGCAGGAAUAGCCUUCAACACAUUAAUCUGGGUGCUGAAUUUUUGAACAAUUUAUAAACAGUUUUGAAUUAAGGGCAGCACUCAUCAGUUGUUUUAAACCUGUUUAAUGACCAACAAGCAUACUGGAAUUAACAAAUUCUGUAAAUCCAAACAAAACUAUUAUCAAUUAGAUUAGAACAUAUUAGAAGCUUAUUAGAUUCUGCAGAGCUUGUCAUUCUACGAAAAGGGUACCAUUUUCGUCCACAACACAAAGAGCCAAAGUGUGUUUGUAAAGCCUAAAGCUAAUAAUGCAAGGGUUCUUGUUAACAUGAUGUACAAGAAAAUACUAUUCUUAAAGACUAGUAUCACACUAUUUUUAACCAUUUACUGUAGUGUAUGGGCAUUUCCUUGUGUCCGGGUUGAGCGACAUGACAUUUACCUCGUAUCACCACAUAAAUGUUUUUACACUGUCAUUGCUAAGCAAUGAUUUCUAAUUGAAAGCAUGCAUGUUGAGUCAAUAACUUGACCGUUAUUGGAUAACUAGAGCAAUUUCACCCUAGUGGAAAAGGCACCCGUUUCAUAAAAUUACCCAAAUAUGUCUGGGGCAAUGAAAUGUUUGUAUUAAUUAUUUACCAUUAAGUUGCUUUGGAUGCAAUUGUCAACAAUAACAAACUUAAAUUAAACAAUAGCGUGUGACAAAUAGUAUGUAAAAAAGACAAUCUUAUCACCAAAUGAGAGAGCAUUUGUAUCUUUCAAAACAGACAGGUCAUGCAGCGGGGUGACAGAGCCAGCUCCUUUUGCCAGCACCAGCUGCCUCUUCAACUACCUGAGGAGAAUGUGACAGCACCGAUGGUGAUUUGACAUAUUAAUAUAUGGGCAGGGAUAUAGCAAUCAAUAUGAACAGAUGUUUACAGACUUUCCUUCGUUCAGGAAUUGAGCUUUCGGUUCCAAAGGAAGUCAUUUCUGGCAAGUCUCAAACAAGCUGUGGCGACUUGUUCAGGAUGACUGAGCCGUGCUGACAAAGCCACAUUCUACAGAGGCCAAGGCCCAGAUGGACCUGGGCCCGGUACUCUGGGCCUUGGUGCUUGAGGAAUGUGGCUUUUAGCAAUCUCAGUCGAUCUGGCUAAGACGCCACAAUCUUGCUUUGAGCUUUGCCGCAACAGAGUUCUUUUGGAGCGAAGUCUCAGCGCCUGAGCAGUCAUCUCAAAGAAGGAAUGGAGAACAUCCACACAGUACCUCUCAGAAGACUCCAAGUAUGAGAUGGAAUGGCAGGCAUCAGAAGAUGUCCUUCAUGACACAGUUGCCAUGUUACAGAGAGUCCACCUGACUGACGAAAUGGAAUGGCAGGCAACUAGGGAUGAACAUGAGGACAUCGCCAACAUGCUGGAGGGACUGCAUCUGAGCGAGGAGAUGGAGUGGACACCUCAGACGGAUCCUGUAGAUGACGCCACCCAGAGGGCUGACAGACCUCAGCUGAAUCACUGAGGAGGAGAUGGACUGGGCAUGACGGGGCGCCUAAGGAUUCUUCCAGUGACUUGGCAGAACGUCUGCAGUGCCUGCCGAUGGGAGCGGAGGGAGAGGAGAUGGAAAAUGCCGAGCGUGACUGUGGUGUUCCCUAUUUUCACCGUUUGAAAGACCAGCAGAUCACAUCUCCAGUGGACUGUAAAUAAUGUACUUAAAAGUGUAAAUUGUACAUCUGACACUGUGAACCAUAUUGCUGAGUUUAAAACGGCUCUAGUAGCCUCUGGGCUCUCAUGCUCACAGUGACUUUUCCUGCUUGUGAAUUAUAACCUAUGAUUUGAUGAUGUUUGUUUUUAUAAUGUAUAUAUGUGCAUGUAUGUAUGUUUACUAAUAGACGGGUGGUGGUGGUGGUUGUACUGGAUCAAAGUAAAUGUGACAUACAUCACUUCAUCGAUGGCCUGUUUUCAGUGAUCUGGUGUUCACAAUUAUAACAUGUUUACCUACACUGAAUCUAUCUUUUGGUAAUACAAUCACACAUUAAAGGUGCUCUGCCACACAAAACAGCUACCUCCUUCGUCAGCUCUAGCCACUAAAAGAAAUAAGCGGAGAAAUUAGGGCAAUUGCAAAAGUUCUUCAGAUUGACGUGGAAUUGAUGAGCUCAUUACUAUUCAUGAGCUCGCCCA